rnacentral:rRNA from 1 species
GAUGAACGCUGGCGGCGUGCCUAAUACAUGCAAGUCGAGCGAACAGACGAGGAGCUUGCUCCUCUGACGUUAGCGGCGGACGGGUGUGUAACACGUGGAUAACCUACUUAUAAGACUGGGAUAACUUCGGGAAACCGGAGCUAAUACCGGAUAAUAUAUUGAACCGCAUGGUUCAAUAGUGAAAGACGGUUUUGCUGUCACUUAUAGAUGGAUCCGCGCCGCAUUAGCUAGUUGGUAAGGUAACGGCUUACCAAGGCAACGAUGCGUAGCCGACCUGAGAGGGUGAUCGGCCACACUGGAACUGAGACACGGUCCAGACUCCUACGGGAGGCAGCAGUAGGGAAUCUUCCGCAAUGGGCGAAAGCUUGACGGAGCAACGCCGCGUGAGUGAUGAAGGUCUUCGGAUCGUAAAACUCUGUUAUUAGGGAAGAACAAAUGUGUAAGUAACUAUGCACGUCUUGACGGUACCUAAUCAGAAAGCCACGGCUAACUACGUG